rnacentral:rRNA from 1 species
GUGGGGAAUCUUGCGCAAUGGGCGAAAGCCUGACGCAGCCAUGCCGCGUGAAUGAUGAAGGUCUUAGGAUUGUAAAAUUCUUUCACCGGGGACGAUAAUGACGGUACCCGGAGAAGAAGCCACGGCUAACUUCGUGCCAGCAGCCGCGGUAAUACGAAGGGGGCUAGCGUUGCCCGGAAUUACUGGGCGUAAAGGGCGCGUAGGCGGACAGCUUAGUCAGAGGUGAAAGCCCAGGGCUCAACCUUGGAAUUGCCUUUGAUACUGGCUGUCUUGAGUACGGAAGAGGUGAGUGGAACUCCGAGUGUGGAGGUGAAAUUCGUAGAUAUUCGGAAGAACACCAGUGGCGAAGGCGACUCACUGGCCCGUUACUGACGCUGAGGCGCGAAAGCGUGGGGAGCAAACAGGAUUAGAUACCCCGGUAGUCC